ACUCCUACGGGAGGCAGCAGUGGGGAAUAUUGGACAAUGGGCGAAAGCCUGAUCCAGCAAUGCCGCGUGAGUGAUGAAGGCCUUAGGGUUGUAAAGCUCUUUUACCCGGGAUGAUAAUGACAGUACCGGGAGAAUAAGCCCCGGCUAACUCCGUGCCAGCAGCCGCGGUAAU
rnacentral:rRNA from 2 species